rnacentral:lncRNA from 1 species
AUGACCACAACGUUCACUAAGGGUGCUGUGGACGGGCAGUUCAGCAACGAGGGUGAGCGGGGCCGGCCGGGGGCUCCUGAGCCAGGCCGCGGGGGCGAGGGCCCAGCCAGCCGCAGGCUCACCCAGCUCCCGCCCCCCAGCCAUGGCGCAGACCGACAUCCGCGUGGUGUCCACCGACUACAAGCAUUUCGCGGUGCUGUACAAGGAGACGCAGAAGGGGGGCGUCAGGAACGUCUGGCUGGAGCUCUACGCCCGCGCCCCAGAGCUGUUUCCCGAAGGUGCACAGCAGAUGCAGCAGCUGGCACCCCAAGUGGGCCUAAACCCCAGCCAGGGCGCCCUGCUGCCCAAGUCAGACCAGUGCGCUGGAGCCUUCUAGGUGAGUACUCAGGGGUGGGCCGGACACCACGCCCAGACCGUGCAGUGCCCAGUGCCCUGCUGACCCCUGGGGGCCUCUCUCGGCCAGAAGGCUGCACGGUGGAGGUCCUCAUCCCGGGAGCAGGGUGGGGGUGGUACCAUAGAAUCGAGGUGGGACAGCAGGCAGCGGUGGGGAGGAACGGAGUGGGGCCCUGGGGUGGGCCCAGGGAGGGCAGGAGGAGGCGAGAAUAUGGUGCUCACCCCACUGCACCUGCCCUCUCAUUUGCAAGGAAGGAUCCAGCCCAGGAGUGCCAGCGGUGGGCAGGGGGCCCGUGCUCGGUGUACUGGGCUCCCCAGAGACCAUGCGCCACUUCUCUGCCACCCCUCCCCCAGCACAAUAAACAAUCUCCUCAAGCCCACGGCUGCCGCGCUUUUCUUCCACGUGUUCUGGGACCAGGGAGGGACCCCUUGCUCGGCUGGGGCUGGCCGGGGCAGGCGCUUAGCCCGGGAGGAGCUGACGCUCUGCUCGGAGGGACACAAGCUUAUCCAGACAGCGGCGUCGCAAGGCCUUCCCUGCCACCCCCCCCGUGCCCCCCCCACACCAGGGCACCAGACUGGGGGUGUUGCCCUUGCUCAGCCACCGGGGCUCCUGCAGGCACAGCGGGCCUCCUGGGCCUUUGGGAUCCUCCCAAACCACAGCGCAGAGCAGGGAUCUGGGCCUCUUCCGUCCUCCCAGUUCUCCCCUGACCUCUGGCCCCAAAGUACCCACAGUUCACUCCCCACCCAGAGCCAGAGGAAAGGGGGUGUGAGCCAUUGUGCCUAUGUCGGAUAAUAUCCCUCUUCUUUGAAGACAUGUCCUGCAGGGGCGCCUGGGCAGCUCCAUCGGUGAGGGUCUGCCUUCAGCUCAGAUCAUGAUCUCAGGGGUCCUGGGAUCGAGCCCCGCAUUGGGUUCCCUGCUCAGCAUGGCGCCCACUUCUCUGUCUCCCUCUGCCCCUCCCCUGCUUGUGCUCUCUCUCUGACAAAUAAAAUCUUUAAAAAAAUAAAAAAUAAAAACA